rnacentral:rRNA from 1 species
GACGAACGCUGGCGGCGUGCCUAACACAUGCAAGUCGAACGGAGUUAAGACUUCGGUUUUAACUUAGUGGCGAACGGGUGAGUAACGCGUGAGGAACCUGCCUUUCAGUGGGGGACAACAGUUGGAAACGACUGCUAAUACCGCAUAACAUGUACGGAUCGCAUGGUCUGUACAUCAAAGCUUUAUGUGCUGAAAGAUGGCCUCGCGUCUGAUUAGAUAGUUGGUGAGGUAACGGCUCACCAAGUCGACGAUCAGUAGCCGGACUGAGAGGUUGAACGGCCACAUUGGGACUGAGAUACGGCCCAGACUCCUACGGGAGGCAGCAGUCGGGAAUAUUGCACAAUGGAGGAAACUCUGAUGCAGUGACGCCGCGUGCAGGAAGAAGGUUUUCGGGUUGUAAACUUCUUUUACCAGGGACGAAGACGUGACGGUACCUGGAGAAAAAGCCACGGCUAACUACGUG